GACCGACUGGCCUAGUGGUUACGGCGCUCGUCUUACAUUAGUGAUCACGAGAGAUCGCAGGUUCGAUCCCUGCGUCGGUCA
rnacentral:tRNA from 1 species